UUGCGGUUAAAAAGCUCGUAGUUGGAUUUCUGUCGAGGACGACCGGUCCGUACUUUGUGCGUGUAUCUGGCUCGGCCUUGGCAUCCUCCCGGGGAACGCUUCUGUGUUUCAUUACAUGGGGCGGUAUUCGGGACUUUUACUUUGAGGAAAUUAGAGUGUUCACGGCAGGCUUUCGCCUUGAAUACAUUAGCAUGGAAUAAUAAUAUAGGACCUUGGUACUAUUUUGUUGGUUUCUAGAACUAAGGUAAUGAUUAAUAGGGAUAAUUGGGGGCAUUCGUAUUAACGCGUCAGAGGUGGAAUUCUUGGAUUGCGUUACGACGAACUACUGCGAAAGCAUUUGCCAAGGAUGUUUUCAUUGAUCAGGAACGAAAGUUAGGGGAUCGAAGAUGAUUAGAUACCGUCGUAGUCUUAACCAUAAACUAUGCCACUUAGAGAUUGGAGGUCGUUCUUUUUAUGACUCCUUCAGCACCUUAUGAGAAUCCAAGUCUUUUGGGUUCCGGGGGGAGUAUGGU
rnacentral:rRNA from 1 species